UACGGGGGGGGCAAGCGUUGUUCGGAAUUACUGGGCGUAAAGGGUUCGUAGGUGGCUUGCUAAGUCAGACGUGAAAUCCCUCAGCUUAACUGGGGAACUGCGUCUGAUACUGGCGAGCUUGAGUGCAGGAGAGGAACGCGGAAUUCCAGGUGUAGCGGUGAAAUGCGUAGAUAUCUGGAGGAACACCGGUGGCGAAGGCGGCAUCCUGGACCGGUAUUGACGCUGAGGCGCGAAAGCUAGGGGAGCAAACGGG
rnacentral:rRNA from 1 species